AAUCUUCGAGGUUGGGUGAAAUUCCCUACCGGCGGUACAGUCCGCAAACCGCUACGGCGGCCGAUCCGGUGUAAUUCCGGAACCGACAGUAAAGUCUGGAUGAGAGAGGAG
rnacentral:ncRNA from 1 species